rnacentral:lncRNA from 10 species
UGUGAAGAGAUGUGCAUGCUUUCCCUUAACCUUCUGCCAUGAUUGUAACUUCCCUGAGGCCUCCCAGUCAUGCUUCCUGUUAAGCCUGAGAAAAUCCGGGAAGUGGGAAAAUACAGUGGCUGCUGAUGCCCAAUACAUACCUGAUUUGCAUUACUCCAUCCAUGUUUGUACUAUCAUAUAGAGAAGAUAAAGCUGUCUUUUUGGAAAAACUGAAAAUGUCGCUCUGACAAAAAUUCUCACACUAAUGAGAUGAAGUAGAAAGAAUUCCUUCAGCAUCUAACAACUAAAAUCCAUUAACAUUCCUAAGGAAUAAUAAAGAUUUUAAAAUGUCAACCUGAUAAAAGUGAGUUUCUGACUUAGACUGAGUUGUAAAAACAUGAAAAACUGACUGAAAUGAUCUGCACGUGUCAUCCUUGCAUUUUUCUCUCUUUACUCUUCAACUCAUCUUCCACU